UACGUAGGGGGCGAGCGUUGUCCGGAUUUAUUGGGCGUAAAGAGUUCGUAGGCGGUUUGGCAAGUCGGGUGUGAAAACUCCGGGCUCAACUCGGAGACGCCACUCGAUACUGCCAUGACUCGAGUCCGGUAGGGGAGUGCGGAAUUCCUGGUGUAGCGGUGAAAUGCGCAGAUAUCAGGAGGAACACCGGUGGCGAAGGCGGCACGCUGGGCCGGUACUGACGCUGAGGAGCGAAAGCGUGGGGAGCGAACAGG
rnacentral:rRNA from 1 species